AGUCGAGCGGAACCUUUGGAGCUUGCUCCAUUGGUUUAGCGGCGGACGGGUGAGUAACACGUGGGCAACCUGCCCUGCAGAUCGGGAUAACUCCGGGAAACCGGUGCUAAUACCGAAUAGUUUUUUGCCCCUCCUGGGGCGAAACGGAAAGACGGUUUCGGCUGUCACUGCAGGAUGGGCCCGCGGCGCAUUAGCUAGUUGGUGGGGUAAUGGCCCACCAAGGCGACGAUGCGUAGCCGACCUGAGAGGGUGAUCGGCCACACUGGGACUGAGACACGGCCCAGACUCCUACGGGAGGCAGCAGUAGGGAAUCUUCCGCAAUGGACGCAAGUCUGACGGAGCAACGCCGCGUGAGUGACGAAGGUUUUCGGAUCGUAAAACUCUGUUGUGAGGGAAGAACAAGUACCAAGUAACUACUGGUACC
rnacentral:rRNA from 1 species